GAAACUCCGUCUCAAAAAAAAAAAAAAAGAAAUAGAAAAAGUCGGGGACCUGGCAAGCUGCCUAACUGCUCUGUGCCUCGGUGUCCUCACCUGUGAUGCAGGGACAAAGCUGAAGAAGCCAGCAACCUGAAAACACCAAUGGGCACAGACAGAAGAACCUGCUUGCUCCAGCCAGAGACGUAUGAGGACUUGUAGAGGCAGAGUUUUACCAUGUUGCCCAGGCUGGUCUG